GACCCAAAAAUGGCAAUCCAUGCCUGGCCAGGAUUAAUCUAGAGGAAACUCAGGUGGAAGUCCAAAGCACCUCUGACGUGCAAAUCGAUCAUCAGAACCAGGUGUAGGGGUGAAAAACCAAUCGAACUGUCAAGUAGUUGG
rnacentral:ncRNA from 1 species